rnacentral:lncRNA from 1 species
UUUUUGUCUACUUUUAAGUUUUUUUAAUAUUGUUUUAUGAUCACUUGUAUUAAAAAAUUUAAUAAUUGAAACAUUUACAUUUGUGAAAUUUGUUUAAGUUAUAAAAGAACAGAACACUUAAUUAUUCUUGCUUCUCAUUCCACGAGCAAGUCAAAACUUAGUUUACAUGAUCUCUCUUUUUUUUUUCUUAUUCGUGGUUUAACCUUCGUUUUUUUUGGAAUGUACUUAGAAAUGGAAAAAAAAAUGACCCAGAAAUUCAACUUUCACCUAGUUCAAACACAGAACUUAGUUUCAAUUUUUUUCUUAUUGAUUUUUUAUUUAAACUAUUAAAUGAUUUUAUUAUUUUAUUAAACUUUCAUUUUGUUAUUUUUUAAUUUUUUUUUCUAAACAUUAUGGUUUUUGAAACAUUUUAUUUGAUAUUAUCAUCUAUCUUUGUAAGAACAUACAUAUUAUUACAAAAUAUAAUUAAAUUCGGUUUAAAUCAAUCGAAGCUUAUCAAACCACAAUGACCCAUGACCUAAAAAAUUCUGGUUCGUUGGUCUGAUUUUAAAAACACUGGUUGAAUCAAAAGGGCCGUCGAACAAACUCGACAACGAUUUGUAAUUGCUUUAUCCGCAAGCUAAAAUCGUUAAA